CGGGGCACCUGUUGGGGCUCCAGCGCGGUGGGCACACCUUCCCAGCCGCUGCCCCAAACCACUGCUCUCGGUGUGGCCACUUCACCCUUUCGCAGAAGCCCAGGCUGCAGGCCCGAGUCUUCACCCAACCCCGCGGCCUGCCCCAGCCGGGCACGUCCUGCCUUGCUGCUGACGGGAGCCCUCCAGGAGGGGCCCGAGACACCGACAAGCCGCCACCGGGUGUCAGUCAGAACAGACCCCUCGGCAGCUUGCGGCGGGUGGGGAGAGGCGCAAGCAUCAGAAGCAGCCGACCGCCAGGCCGAAGGCUAAUCCGACGGCCACCUGGGGAAGCAGAAGGCGCUCCGAACAGUCGCCGGGGACCACUUGCUUUCUUCUCUGCUCGAACUUUAUGCAGCUCUUUGGAGUCCAGCGGGACAAGUGAAGCUUGAGUGAAAUGACGUGUCGGAGCCUGUCGCUGGCUCCGGCAGGCUCCCUGGAGGUGGGACAGGCAACGACCUGCCCACCUCCUGGCCUGUGAGCUCCGUCCUCCACGCCCCUGGGCCACUCGCCCCUCGUCCGCGGGCUCAGCCCUCCUGCGGCAGCUGGCACCUCUCCCGUGUGGGUGGUGGGUCCACGCUGGCCACCCAAAGGAACUACUAGGGGGCUUUAAGAAUCCCUGUGCCUGGGCCCCACGCCCAGAGAGUCUGACUUAACCCCUCCGGGGCGGGGGCUGGCAUAGCUCAGUUUUUUAAAAAAUUCCCUAAGUGAUUCAGGCGUAUAGAGAUCGAGAGCUACUAGUGUCGUGGUUCAGAUGAGGGGCCUUGGUGUUUGUGCCGUGACUUUGAGGAUAUUUUGCUAAGUGCAGUAAGUCAGACAGAGAAACACAUGUACUGUAUGUUCUCACUUACAGGUGGAACCUAAAAAAUCUGAAUUCCCAGAACUAGAGACUAGGAUGGUGGCUGCCAGGGGGUGGGGGUGCUGGGGGAGCAGAAAUGUUGGUUAAGGAGCACAAACUUCCAGCAAG
rnacentral:lncRNA from 1 species